UUCGUGCAUUGAGUUGCGAUCCUGUGAC
rnacentral:sRNA from 1 species